rnacentral:rRNA from 1 species
AGCGAACGCUGGCGGCAUGCCUAACACAUGCAAGUCGAACGAACCUUUCGGGGUUAGUGGCGGACGGGUGAGUAACACGUGGGAACGUUCCUUUAGGUUCGGAAUAACUCAGGGAAACUUGUGCUAAUACCGAAUGUGCCCUUCGGGGGAAAGAUUUAUCGCCUUUAGAGCGGCCCGCGUCUGAUUAGCUAGUUGGUUGAGGUAAUGGCGCACCAAGGCGACGAUCAGUAGCUGGUCUGAGAGGCUGAUCAGCCACAUUGGGACUGAGACACGGCCCAAACUCCUACGGGAGGCAGCAGUGGGGAAUCUUGCGCAAUGGGCGAAAGCCUGACGCAGCCAUGCCGCGUGAAUGAUGAAGGUCUUAGGAUUGUAAAAUUCUUUCACCGGGGACGAUAAUGACGGUACCCGGAGAAGAAGCCCCGGCUAACUUCGUG